AUGAGAAAGGAGUUGAAUCUUACUUACGCCCACAAUCCCUGAACAUGAAUAUGCUUAAAGCUUUCUCAAGCAUGGUGAUCUCAAAAAUCAAAAGUAUUGGGUUAUUUUGAUGAUCAAGAGCAUCUGUAACACAUCUGGCAUGUAGAAGAAAUCGAAAAGAAGAUGCUCACUUUCACCUCACCCUGCCAUAUUUGUCUUAGAUAACAUGUAUCACCAUCUGAUAUGCAAUAGUAUAAGCUCUAUACACUUGAUGUCUGGAUUCUGUGAUGAAUUCCAGAUGCCUAAAACAAUGCCUAUAGUAUUGUAGAAUGCUCUAAAAAUACAUGGAGAAUGAAUGAA